GAUGAAGAACGCAGUGAAAUGCGAUAAGUAAUGUGAAUUGCAGAAUUCAGUGAAUCAUCGAAUCUUUGAACGCACAUUGCGCCCGCCAGUAUUCUGGCGGGCAUGCCUGUUCGAGCGUCAUUUCAACCAUCAAGCCCCAGGCUUGUGUUGGGGACCUGCGGCUGCCGCAGGCCCUGAAAACCAGUGGCGGGCUCGCUGUCACACCGGGCGUAGUAGAUUUUAUCUCGCUCAGGGCGUGCUGCGGGUUCCGGCCGUUAAAAAGCCUUUUUUACCCAAGGUUGACCUCGGAUCAGGUAGGAAGACCCGCUGAACUUAAGCAUAUCAAUAAGCGGUGGA
rnacentral:misc_RNA from 1 species